CGAUGACAGAAUCCUACGGAGAAUGCCUUGGUGACCACAGGCAGCCCAUUCUCUCAGGAACGAAAAUAAACAGACAAAAUCAACUCAGGAGAACCUAAACAUGUGAAAACAGUAGAGCCAUGCUUUUUUCCCAGGUUUCUAGACUUUAAUGACCGUGACAUUUGAAAAACCAGCAUUUAAAUGGGUGGAUGGAUUAUGAGAGCAAAGUGUACGGCUGGUUUCAAAUAAAAGAAGAAACUGUGAUUAACAAAAUGCUCAAGGUCAAGUCUGUGCCUCCUUAUUAAAUAUUAAUUAACAAGCAAACAAACAAAAACCAAAGUUCUCCUAUUUUUAAUACCAUGUGUGUUCAGAUCAUUUAGAGUGUUUUGCUGUCCAUAUGAGCUCACUUUCUGGAUAAUUGGAAAGUUAAGUAACUGCCUAGAAAAGGUAAACAUUUGUUAAAGUCCUUAAGAGGAGGCUUAACUUAUUUGAUACGACUGCAAUAAAAUAGUAGUUUGUGUCAACAUAAAAUCCUUCUUGUAUCUAUCAUAUGAUGUCAUGUGGAACUGCCAACACACAGUUUUUGAUGUACCUGAUGACGACAACAGCUUAAGAAGAUUCAAUUGGCUGGUGUGACUGAUAGAAUUAAGUGGCUAAUGACUGAGGAGGUCCAAGGGAAAAUGAACGACAAUGACCAAAGAAGCAAACUGGAGGACUUCAACAGUAGAUAUAAGCAGUGCCAAUGUCCCCAUUCUGCAUGUAAGAGAAUAGAGGCCAGGACUGGGGAAGUCAUCUUGCUAAGGCUCCUGACAAGGUCCUCAGUGUCAGAAGAGGAAGAAGGAGGAGGAGAAAAAGAGAAGAGGAGGAGGAAAUUAUUUCAUUAAAAGGAUGAAGAGGAAAGACAACAGCAGAUAAAAGUUUUUGAUGCACUUUUGAAAAUUGGAAACUAUCAGUAAAAAUGCUCCAGCCAAACAGCAGAGUAAACCAAGAAAGAAGCUGAUGAAAUUACUCCCUAGCAUAGAAGAAGCUGGAAAGAAGCUCCUAGAUGCCUACAGAGCACGUCCAGCAAGUGACCUGCCUGUAGCACAAGGAGAGCAAGUGAGGCACCAAGGAAGAGCUUCCUUCUGCACAAUGUACUGUACCUGAGGAGUUUCUCUCUGUCUGAGUGAAAACAAAGUUGCCAGACCUUCAUACAACACAGACUGGGCAGUGUCACCUCUGCUGCAUGGAUCAGAACAAGUCAUGCAACAACCCCCACACACACACCCCGCCAUCAAAAAGUAGAGCUCCAUUGUGACUUCAGAAAAACUUAACGUUACUUUCUCUGCUCAGGCAACAUUCAGCUCCAGGAAAACAGCUGAUGUCUUUUGCUCUGAGAGGCUUUGCUGUCCUCUGUGUAGCACUUCUGGCUUUUCAUCUAGAUCUUCACGGCCCACCCCUCUCUGCUUUUGGACCCUGCCCUGUAAUGGUUUCCUUCCACCUUUUCCCCAUUCAUCUGCUUUACUGAAUAAAUCUGCAAAAGAAUUGAAGUUAGGAGAUGGUAAGGAAGGAGGACACAAAACGAGAGAAAAACACACCUUAUCAUCUUUUCAGUUUAAUGGCAGGACACAACAGCAAAACACCUACCACGGGUUUGCUCAGUGAAUUUUGCUCGCUGAUUGAUGUGUGGGGCUGGGAUGUCUGACUUCAGAACUUCUACAGACAGGCUGCUGGCCUCAGCUUUUGUACCUAAGAACACCAGGAAUCUUGGAUGCAGGGAUAAAGAUGAAGAAGAAUAAGCACCUGCUUCCCAGACCUUCCGGUCUCCCCUGGACAUAAAUGACUAUUUUAACAGAGCUAACUGGCAUACAGAAGAGUUUUUCGGAAUUACUUCCCAUGCUAAGCAGAUGCCAGUGCAAUUGGUUUCCAGAUAAGACUUUAAAAAUCAGAUUCACUUUCAUUUGUGAGAAUUUUGGUAGAAUUAAGCUUUAAAAUCAACAUAGGCUUUUAAAAUAUUGCAAUUAUCAUGAAAUGCCAUUAAGCACACCCUCAUUUAAACCAUUCUGCUUAUAUUGGUUGGAAAAUGUUAAUGCCUAAAAGAGUCUGGGUGAUAAAGGUAAACUCCCUCCUUCCAGAGAGGGAGCAUGAGACUGCUGGCACAUGCUAGCCCUUCAUUUUCCUUGGCUGUUUGAACCCUCUUUUGGAGGUACAGGACCCGAGGGUGUGAAAUUGAGAUCCAUUUCUGAGGGCAUAAGGUUAGAGACAAGAAGGAGGUGGCAAAGAAAAACCGAUAAGUAUCAGAGUCCAUGCUUAAUGCUGACACCUGAUCCUAACUUGGUCUGUCCACUGCCUGCCCAGUCACAGAAAUCCAAGAGGGAAGAAAGCCCAGGAGAGGUAUGGUGAGAUCAAAUAAAGUGAUACAUGUAAAAUUAUUCUGUAAAUUGUAACACACAGCGUUUAGGGCUAUGAAUUGUUGAGUGCCAGGCAUUUACGUCUUUAUCACAAAAUGCAGGCUCUGUAGGGAGAGAUUUUAUUAGGUACGGGGGGAAGAGAAAAUAAAAGAAAUAGAAUGCACAAUCCUUGUGCGUAAGGACCUUGCAGAUUAAUAGCAUAGAAUACAGAGCAAAGAAGCUAGUUCCAGAAAAUAAUGUAUCACAUGCAAAAAAAAAAAAAAAUCUAUUAGCCUUAGUCUAAUAGUCUAAUAGUCUGUAGAAUGUAGGAAAUGGUCGGCAAGAAGUACUGUGUCACAUGAAGUCUUUGGUUCAAGUGAAGAAGCACUCUCAGUCCUCCUUCCCAUUCUGUCCUUGCUGUUUUUCUUUUUCUCAAGUUCUUGGUGUUGUCAAGAGCUUUCGAGUGCAUUGUUUUCCUUACAUCCCACAGUAACUCAUGUCAUAAUCACUUUAUGAAUGAAAAACUGUGGUUCAGAAAAGUUAAAUAAAUAUUCCUAAGAUGACACAAUUAAGGGACCAAUCUGGGGUUUAAAGCCAAGCGAGUCCCUCUGAUCCCGAAGUCACUUCGCCAACCUACUUCACUUUAAAGGAAUAUGUCUACUUAUCAACUCUUCUUUAAUGGAAGGAGAAAUAGCAUCUUGUGGCCAAUCUCACUGAUCCAGAAUCCUCCGUGCCUGAGAACUCUGAGGCUCAGGAAGAGCUGCAGGUAAGUUUGGCUCUGCUUCUCAAAUGUCAAAUGGUUCAGAGACAUCUACCAAGGAGAAACAACAAGUCACCUUGCUUUCUUGCUAAAACUCAUCAAAAUACUCAAAUGUGGUGCACUGGUUCUUAUGCUCAAAAAAAAAAAAAAAGGGAGGAGAAGGAAAGGAAGAAAAAAAGAAAAAAGGAGGUGGAGGAGAAGAAGCAGAAGAAAAAGAAGAAAGGAGAGGAGAAGGAGAAGAAGAAGAAGAAGAAAAAGAGGAUGGAGGAGGAGGAGAAGAAGAAAAAAAAGGAGAUUGAAAAGAAGAGGAAGAGAAGAAGACAAAUUAUUGCACAUUUGGUUCUCUGUUGUACCAUGUCAUUUGUACAUAUAUUUUAUUCCUCUUUCCAGAAUGUUUGCUUCUAGAGCUUGCAUCUUACCUGUGACCAUAACUGUGAGUUAUUUUUGUAUUCUCCAAAGCAUCUUGCACGUGGUAGGUGCUGACAAAGUUUUGCUGGAUUUGCUCUAUUCGCAGGGCAUUAUGGUAUAGGAGUUAAGCACAUAGUCUAUGGUAGAAAACAUGACAUCAAAUUCCACCUACAAUACUCACUGGCUAUAGAAUAAAGCUGCUUAAGAUCAUUUUCUUUGUUACCUUAUCUGUAAUCUGGAGAGUUAAAUAGCACCUACUUUAUAGAGUUGUUGGCCAACUAAGUAAAGAUGUAUAAAAUGCUCAAAACGGUCCUGGCAUAUAGUAAGUACUAGAUAAUUGUAUCUAAUAUAUUAUUAAUGUAUCAUCAUUAAUAAAUCAUCAGAUUUAUUAAUAAAUAUCUCAUCAGAAAAAAAUGCGAAAAAGGAAAAUACUCAAAUAAUCUUCAUGUAUUUAAUAGAUUCUCAGUACCUUAUACAAGGCCAAAAUAUCUCUAAUCCAGAUAUUACCAUUUUGUAUUUCAGUCUUCUGGAUUCUAUUAAAUGCGGAGGGAAAUAUUUAUUUUUGUUUAUUUGUUUGGAUUCUUUGGAGGUGCAAGAAGCAAGCAGCAUACAAAUAUGUCAAAACGAGUGCCAGGUCUCAAUCUUCUCUACAUUGUACAGUCAGGAACAUUUAUCAUUUGACUUCCCUAGUGAGUCUUCUCUGAGGAUAUUAAUAAUUCCUAUUAUGUUUCAUGGGUUAAGCAUUAACCUGUUUCUUCCCUAAUACCUAAUAUCCAGGCUUCAUCAAGUCUCCCAACCCUUGGUAGCACUAGAGGUGAUGAUGUUAAAUUAUCAUCGUACCUCUACUCAAAGAUAAGAGUUUCCUCCUAGCCGCUUAACUCUAUUUAGGUUCCAACUUCAGCCAAGUCUUUUUUCUUUUAUAUAAUUAGAUUAAAAAUUAAACAUAUCUGUUGCAGAGUUGAAAUGUCCUCCCAUUCCACUUAUAUGUGUAGGGAAAAUGCAGCUUCUUUCUACUGUAGUAAAAUGU